GUGCCAGCCGCCGCGGUAAUACCGGCAGCUCAAGUGAUGUCCCAUAUUAUUGGGCCUAAAGCGUCCGUAGCUGGCCGACCAAGUCUCCCGGGAAAUCCACCCGCCCAACGGGUGGGCGUCCGGUAGAAACUGGCCGGCUUGGAACCGGAAGGCUCAGAGAGUACGUCCGGGGUAGGAGUGAAAUCCCGUAAUCCUGGACGGACCGCCGAUGGCGAAAGCACGUCGCGAAGACGGAUCCGACAGUGAGGGACGAAAGCUAGGGUCUCGAACCGGAUUAGAUACCCGGGUAGUCC
rnacentral:rRNA from 1 species